rnacentral:tRNA from 1 species
GGUCUCGUAGCUCAGGGGUAGAGCGACUCCCUCUUAAGGAGAUGGUCGGAGGUUCGAAUCCUCCCGAGAUCA